rnacentral:rRNA from 1 species
UACGAAGGGGGCUAGCGUUGCUCGGAAUCACUGGGCGUAAAGGGUGCGUAGGCGGGUCUUUAAGUCAGGGGUGAAAUCCUGGAGCUCAACUCCAGAACUGCCUUUGAUACUGAGGAUCUUGAGUUCGGGAGAGGUGAGUGGAACUGCGAGUGUAGAGGUGAAAUUCGUAGAUAUUCGCAAGAACACCAGUGGCGAAGGCGGCUCACUGGCCCGAUACUGACGCUGAUGCGCGAAAGCGUGGGGAGCAAACAGG